rnacentral:rRNA from 1 species
UACAGAGGUGGCAAGCGUUGUUCGGAAUUACUGGGCGUAAAGGGCGCGUAGGCGGUUCGAUAAGUCCCGUGUGAAAUCCCUCGGCUCAACUGAGGAAUGGCACGGGAAACUGACGGGCUUGAGUUCGGGAGAGGGAAGCGGAAUUCCGGGUGUAGCGGUGAAAUGCGUAGAUAUCUGGAGGAAUACCGGUGGCGAAGGCGGCAUCCUGGACCGGCAUUGACGCUGAGUGAGCGAAAGCUAGGGGAGCAAACGGG